UACGGAGGGGGCUAGCGUUGUUCGGAAUUACUGGGCGUAAAGCGCGCGUAGGCGGACCUGCAAGUCGGGGGUGAAAGCCCGAGGCUCAACCUCGGAACUGCCUUCGAUACUGCGGGUCUCGAGUCCGGGAGAGGUGAGUGGAAUUCCUAGUGUAGAGGUGAAAUUCGUAGAUAUUAGGAAGAACACCAGUGGCGAAGGCGGCUCACUGGGCCGGUACUGACGCUGAGGCGCGAAAGCGUGGGGAGCAAACAGG
rnacentral:rRNA from 1 species